rnacentral:misc_RNA from 1 species
AACGGUCUAUACCUGCGGUACCUGCGGAGGGAUCAUUACCAAAAUUGUCCUCGAUAAUGGAUAAUUUUAUCCAUAUCCACCUUGUGUGCAUCACUGACAUGUUUGUUGGCAGGUUUAAAAGCUCUCCUAUAUUGGACUGCUGUGGGUAAUGACAUUCAGUCUGCGCUCGGCCUGCCAAUUUUAUUAUUUACAAUUAAACUUGUCUAAAUACACUGGUCUGAAAUACAUACUUUAUAAUAA